CAAAAGCCUGGUCCUGACUUUAACAUCAGUUCUAACCUAGAUUACACAUGCAAGUACCCGCAACCCCGUGAGGAUGCCCUUUACCUUCCGGUAGGAAAAAAGGAGCGGGCAUCAGGCACACACUAGUAGCCCAAAACGCCUUGCUCAGCCACACCCCCAAGGGAACUCAGCAGUGACAAACAUUAAGCCAUAAGCGAAAGCUUGACUUAGCCAGGGUUAAGAGGGCCGGUAAAACUCGUGCCAGCAACCGCGGUUAUACGAGAGGCCCAAAUUGAUAAAUCACGGCGUAAAGUGUGAUUAGAGACAAAACCGAACUAGAACCAAAUACCCCUUAUGCAGUCAUACGCCAUGGGGGUCACGAAGACCAACAACGAAGGUGGUUCUACAAAACUUGAACUCACGACAGCUAGGACACAAACUGGGAUUAGAUACCCCACUAUGCCUGACCUUAAACCAAGAUGACAAGACUACAAACCGCAUCCGCCAGGGAACUACGAGCCCCGCUUAAAACCCAAGGGACUUGGCGGUGCCUCAAACCCACCUAGAGGAGCCUGUCCUAUAACCGAUAAUCCCCGUUAAACCUCACCCCUCCUUGUUAAUUCCGCCUAUAUACCGCCGUCGCCAGUUUACCUUUUGAAAGAACAAAAGUAAGCAAAACGGGCACCACCCAACACGUCAGGUCGAGGUGUAGCGAAUGGAGGGGGAAGAGAUGGGCUACAUUUUCUGACAACAGAACACUACGGAGAGUGCAAUGAAAAGUGCACGGACGAAGGUGGAUUUAGCAGUAAAAAGAAAGAAGAGAGUUCUUUUGAAACCGGCCCUGAGGCGCGUACACACCGCCCGUCACUCUCCUCGAAAAACAAGACGACAAUAAAUAAAAAAAUAGAAAAGAGAGAGGAGGCAAGUCGUAACAUGGUAAGUGUACCGGAAGGUGCACUUGGAAGAAU
rnacentral:ncRNA from 1 species